AUGCUUUGGCAGCAUGUGUAUUGAAAGUUGAAAAGAUACAGGGAUUGCCAUGAUCCUUGACCAAGGAUGCCAUGCAAAGGCAUGAAACAUUCCAUGUUUUA
ensembl:snRNA LOC120095719 U6 spliceosomal RNA